GGAUUAGAAAAUCCAGCCGACUGAUAAAAAUCGAGCGGACACGUAACCAUCACGUGUACGCCUCUAGAGAGGCCCCUUAUCCAUCCGUCUCCACCUCCACCGCUCUGUGCUCUCUCGUUCUCUGUCGAUCCAUCCAUCUCUCUCUCUCUCAUUCCUAUCCACGCGAGAGCUUCCCCGGAGCAUACCGGCACCAGCGCCCCAUCUAUCUCCAGCCCCUCCCCGCCGACGGUGGCCACCACCAAUGCGUCGUGGCCAGCCCGUUGCGUGCGCCCCCUCCCCUCCGCCGGGCUGUCAGCCAACGGAGUGUCCCCUGGUGAGAGAUCAGAUCCGGGGCAGCUGUCGCUCCUUCCCUUCCCGUGACUCCGGCGCGAUGUGCCCCCCUCUGAUCUCCAUGGGGACCUAUGCCGCCCAAAUUCGCCUCACAUGCAUGUCAUUCCGGUGUGCUGGCGGCGUGACCCAGCGCUGUUGGGCUACUUUUCGUCUCCGCCAACAUCCGCGGUGCCGGCAAGCCGGCCCUGUUCUGUCUCCUCCUCUGUGAGGCCCGUGUCCGACAGUUGCAGGCUCGUCCGACUCCCCCCCUGCUGUCAACGCUGGAUGUGCCAAACCUCCACCAUCAGGUCAGAUCUAAUCUUUCUUUUUCCAUUCUUUCCGUUCUACGGUAAUUGGUCGAUAGGUCCCCUCGAGCUGAUUCUCCUUUAAUAAUUCCUUCCCUUGAUUGAUUUUGAGGCGGCUUGUUGAUUUCAGAUCGCCCACAC
rnacentral:rRNA from 1 species